AAAAAAUGAAAAUAUAAAAAUAUUUUUUCAAAUGUUUUUUUUCAAACUGUUAAAUAAUGUUAAAAGUGUGUCCAAACAUAUUAAAGCAUUUGAAAAGCUAUUCAAAAUUUUUAAAUCAAGACCUAUGGUUAGCACGAAUUAAAGUCUAUUUAAAGCGACAAUAUGUCCCCACAAUAGCAUGUCACGCGACACAUGACAACAUAUCAACAUCAGCAUCCCACGUGUGGCUGUGGGGGUGUGAGUAAGCAUAUGCAACUUGGGUGUGUUAAGGACAUUGCAGCUUAUUUGCGAGGUACAGCCCCUGGUGCUUUACCGGGUACAUUACCAGAUCUCCAUGUUUGCCAAAGCUCCCAAGUUUUUCUAUAAAGCAUAGAGGGGGGAAGAGGGACAUGUAGGAGGUUUCGUAAAUCCACUGCUUAUGCAAUUCCUCUACGAGGUUUUCCUUCUUGGGAAGGAUCGUGGACUUCCAUCUCCUUGCUAUCAAUUGCUGCGCCGUCAAGGCUAUGUGUAAGGUCAACUUUCUAGCAUGUUGGGGCAUUUCUCUAGGGAGAUCCAGCAGUAGACACACCUGUGGGGUGAAUGGGGGAGAGCUUUGUGUGGCUUCUCGGAUCAAUGCAUGGACUUCAGUCCAGUAAGAAAGUAGCCAUGGGCAGCUCCACCAUAUAUGGUGCAUUGUGCCCUCUGCUGCGUGGCAUCUCCAGCAAUGUGGUGAGGUGGAGGGGAAGAUCUUGUGCAGUCUGGUCAGCACUAAGUACCACCGGUAAAAAUUUUUACGGUGUUGUUCAAUGUGAGAGGUGGAUUUUGGUAGCUUUAGAGGGUCGGAUAGGAUAGUGUCCCAGGAUGUGGGUGGCACUGCACAGCCUAGAUUGCUCUCCCAUUGUUGCUAAAGUCUAUUUUAAACAUAAAUUUUAAAAAAAAAGCGGUCCUUCCCUCACCUGACAUAGAACUCUAUGCCACAAGCUGAUUGACACGGGGAAUAGUAUGAACCUCCUACAGGUUGUUCCCCUGCCCUCUAUCAGAGAUAUUUCUUUAGCAGAUUGUUUUAAUGUCAAAUUGCUGCCUAGCAGAGACAAAUGGGAAGGCAGAGCCUGGAGUUGUGGGAGGGAAUGAUCCGGCUUAUAUAAACUCAAACCUACUUCCAUAAUGGGCUGAUGUCGACUGGUCACCCCACCCACCACUCCCUCUAUUCAAUUACAUCUUGGUGGGCCUUCUUUAUUUACAGGCCCGCCCAAACAUCGGUUUGGCACACCCCAACCGACUUUAGGUAAUUAUAAGGUUUUAACACGGCUUUUUUUUCCCUGACCACAAUUGUGGCAGAGUGGCCUGAGAGUAAUGGGGGAAUGUAGGCUGAUACAUUAGUGUAACACACUAGUGCAACAUACUCUGACCACCAGUCAUGGGGGAACUGGCACGCCAGAGAGGAGGUAAGUGAGACUAUAACAACUCCUAAAGCAAUUAAAUAUAUAACAUUUCUGAUAUAUCAGGUGCUUUAGUAGCUGUUAUCUGUUUAGCUAUACUUGUUGUGACACGUUCACUGUAAUGAUAAUCAAUUCAGCCAAUAAAUACCUGUAACAUUGGUGGUGGUAGUGUUCCUUUAUAAGCAUCUUAUAAAAAUGUGUUUUGCAGUUAGUCAAUAUAAUACAUAGAGAAGGACUAAAAAAAUUAAAUGUUAAGGCCUAUCAAGAUCUAUGUGCUAUGCAUAUAAGUAACAAAAUACUUGGGUAAAAUUAAAAAAAAUUAAAAAUAAUGUAAUAUUAAAC